AUGGUGAAGGGGGAAUGAUUAGAAGAGGCAGCUGCAGGCUGAUUGCAGCCCAUGCCAAGGAGGAUAGCAGUGACAACUUUCAACUCUAUAUAUUGGAACUGAAACUGGAAAUUCUCUACCAGACUAUUCUACAGCAGAGAAAACAACUGAAUAAUAGCUACAUGAAAUGACAUGGAUGAGCUGCAAGAUGUAAAUCAAGCGAAAAGAAAACUUGAAGAAUAUACAGCUUAAUUCUAUUGAUGCAUAUUUCAAAUAAAACAGGAAACUUUUAGAGAUACAAAUAUAUACAAGUAAAUAGAAGCAAAGGAACAAUAAAUAACUCAAUAUGAUGAGUACCCUGAAGGUGGAGAGAAAAAGAUGGGAAAGGGAUUGGGCACACAAAGAAUUUUAAGCCAACAAUUUUUUAAUUAAACUGAGUGUUGUGCCCACAAAAGAUCACAAUAUCUUUAUUCUUAAUCCUUUACA